rnacentral:rRNA from 1 species
AUUGAACGCUGGCGGCAGGCCUAACACAUGCAAGUCGAACGCGUGGCGGACGGGUGAGUAAUGUCUGGGAAACUGCCUGAUGGCGGGGGAUAAUUACUGGAAACGGUAGCUAAUACCGCAUACCAUCAUAUGAGCUCAGAUGGGAUUAGCUUGUUGGUGGGGUAACGGCUCACCAAGGCGACGAUCCCUAGCUGGUCUGAGAGGAUGACCAGCCACCCUGGAACGGAGACACGGUACAGACUACUACGGGAGGCAGCAGGGGGGAAUAUUGCACAAUGGGAGGAAGCAUGAUGUAGCCAUGCCGCGUGUAUGAAGAAGGCCCUGGGGUUGGAAAGGACUUUCAGCGGGGAGGCGUUACCCGCAGAAGAAGCACCGGCUAACUCCGUGCCAGCAGCCGCGGUAAUAC